UCACUGUUCCUUCGCACGUGAGUGUGAUUUUAUGCAUGUUGAUGUUAUUUAUGACUUAUGAUAAUGUUACUCUCAAGUCUCACCGUUUCUCCAUUCAUCGAUAUGCUUCUUCUCUUUAUUGGUCUUGGUCAACAAUAAAACAUGUUCUAAUAUGAUAGCUACAAGCUACAAAAGAAAAAUUAUUGUUUGUCAACUUCUUGAUAACAGUUAAUUACAAAUUCAUUUAAUACAUAUCAUAAGUAAAAACAAGUUCUUGAUGACCACCUAGUUGAC